rnacentral:rRNA from 1 species
CCUACGGUGCGCAGCAGUCGAGAAUCAUUCACAAUGGGGGAAACCCUGAUGGUGCGACGCCGCGUGGGGGAAUGAAGGUCUUCGGAUUGUAAACCCCUGUCAUGUGGGAGCAAAUUAAAAAGAUAGUACCACAAGAGGAAGAGACGGCUAACUCUGUGCCAGCAGCCGCGGUAAUACAGAGGUCUCAAGCGUUGUUCGGAAUCACUGGGCGUAAAGCGUGCGUAGGCUGUUUCGUAAGUCGUGUGUGAAAGGCGCGGGCUCAACCCGCGGACGGCACAUGAUACUGCGAGACUAGAGUAAUGGAGGGGGAACCGGAAUUCUCGGUGUAGCAGUGAAAUGCGUAGAUAUCGAGAGGAACACUCGUGGUGAAGGCGGGUUCCUGGACAUUAACUGACGCUGAGGCACGAAGGCCAGGGGAGCGAAAGGGAUUAGAUACCCCAGUAGUC